GAUCAUGGCUCAGGACGAACGCUGGCGGCGUGCUUAACACAUGCAAGUCGAACGAGAAUCUACUGAAGGAGUUUUCGGACAACGGAUGUAGAGGAAAGUGGCGGACGGGUGAGUAACGCGUGAGGAACCUGCCUUGAAGAGGGGGACAACAGUUGGAAACGACUGCUAAUACCCCGAUGACGCAUAGGGGUCGCAUGAUCUUUAUGCCAAAGAUUUAUCGCUUCAAGAUGGCCUCGCGUCUAA
rnacentral:rRNA from 1 species